rnacentral:rRNA from 1 species
CCUACGGGAGGCAGCAGUGAGGAAUAUUGGUCAAUGGACGAGAGUCUGAACCAGCCAAGUAGCGUGAAGGAUGACUGCCCUAUGGGUUGUAAACUUCUUUUAUAUGGGAAUAAAACGUUCCACGUGUGGGAUUUUGUAUGUACCAUAUGAAUAAGGAUCGGCUAAAUCCGUGCCAGCAGCCGCGGUAAUACGGAGGAUCCGAGCGUUAUCCGGAUUUAUUGGGGUUAAAGGGAGCGUAGGUGGAUUGUUAAGUCAGUUGUGAAAGUUUGCGGCUCAACCGUAAAAUUGCAGUUGAAACUGGCAGUCUUGAGUACAGUAGAGGUGUGCGGAAUUCGUGGUGUAGCGGUGAAAUGCUUAGAUAUCACGAAGAACUCCGAUUGCGAAGGCAGUUCACUGGACUGCAACUGACACUGAGGCUCGAAAGUGUGGGUAUCAAACAGGAUUAGAUACCCGUGUAGUC